rnacentral:lncRNA from 1 species
GUAGAUGAAAAUCCCACCAGCCUCGUAACUAGCCAGUGAAGCCACACACUAUUGCUUUGGCCACUUCUUGAUCAUGAUUUCCUACCAUCUUGCAGGCUGAAGCAUACAUGGUUAUAUGUUUCAUUGUAUCAAGAAUUUGAUGUUCCGACAUACCAUCUAUAUUCCAAUUGACUAUAGUUCUCCCUGAAUAAGACGUGGUAUGGGAUAUUAGAUCUUAUUCAAAUUGAAUAUCUACUGGUGUAGGUCUAAUGGUAACGCCUGGCAGUAGCAGGUUUCCAUCAUUUACCAUAGGCUAUUCGUUGUAUAUUAGAAUUCUUGGAUUCUGUGAAUGUUAAUUCUGGAUUUUCUAAAGUGUCUUGGAU